rfam:Gammaproteobacteria bacterium RIFCSPHIGHO2_02_FTLL_42_13 rifcsphigho2_02_scaffold_7377, whole genome shotgun sequence.
AACCGCCGUAUGCGACAUCGCACGUACGGUGGUGUGAGAGGACGGCGAGGUGACUCGCCUCCUACUCGAU